rnacentral:misc_RNA from 1 species
GUUCCGUAGGUGAACCUGCGGAAGGAUCAUUGUCGAAGCCUGCCCGGCAGAACGACCCGCGAACUUGUAUAAACAACCGGGGGCAGGGGCGAUCUCGCCCCGUGCCCUCGAACGGCAGGGAGACACUCGUGCCUUCUUGUCGAACAACGAACCCCGGCGCGGUCUGCGCCAAGGAACUUCAAUUAAAGAGUGCCUCCGGUCGCCUCGGAAACGAUGCGCGUGUCGGAGGCGAAUCUUGUACAAAACCAUAACGACUCUCGGCAACGGAUAUCUCGGCUCUC